GAUGAACGCUAGCGGCAGGCUUAAUACAUGCAAGUCGAGGGGCAUCAAGGUACACGAAAGUGUAUUGUUGGCGACCGGCGGACGGGUGAGUAAUAGGUAGGUAACCUACCUCAUACUGAGGCAUAGCUGGGAGAAAUUCCAGGUAAUUCCUCAUGAGGUUAUAUGACACAUGUGAUAUAAUCAAAGGUAUCGCAAGGUACUGGUAUGAGAUGGGCUUACUGACCAUUAGCUAGUUGGUGAGAUAAGAGCUCACCAAGGCGAAGAUGGUUAGGGGUUUUGAGAGAGAGAUCCCCCACAUUGGAACUGAGAUACGGUCCAGACUCCUACGGGAGGCAGCAGUAGGGAAUAUUGGGCAAUGGGCGGAAGCCUGACCCAGCCAUGCCGCGUGAAGGAGACGGCCUUAUGGGUUGUAAACUUCUUUACUAUGCGACUAACUAGAUUUACGAGAUAAUUCUAUAGAAUGUAGCAUAGCAAAAAGCAACC
rnacentral:rRNA from 1 species